AACGAACGCUGGCGGCAUGCCUAACACAUGCAAGUCGAACGAGACCUUCGGGUCUAGUGGCGCACGGGUGCGUAACGCGUGGGAACCUGCCUUUAGGUUCGGAAUAACUCAGAGAAAUUUGAGCUAAUACCGGAUGAUGUCUUCGGACCAAAGAUUUAUCGCCUUUGGAUGGGCCCGCGUUGGAUUAGCUAGUUGGUGGGGUAAAGGCCUACCAAGGCGACGAUCCAUAGCUGGUCUGAGAGGAUGGUCAGACACACUGGGACUGAGACACGGCCCAGACUCCUACGGGAGGCAGCAGUGGGGAAUAUUGGACGCUGGGCGAAAGCCUGAUCCAGCCAUGCCGCGUGAGUGAUGAAGGCCUUAGGGUUGUAAAGCUCUUUUAGCCGAGAUGAUAAUGACGGUAUCGGGAGAAUAAGCUCCGGCUAACUCCGUG
rnacentral:rRNA from 1 species